CCAUAUGUGUCAAGCUAUAUUCGAGAUUUUUAAAUUAAGACUGCGUUAUCGAUUGAUUUAUCACAAGUAUAAUUAAAUGCAUACCAUAUUGGCGAUGGAAUCAAAAUGAAAAAAGAAAGCCGAGCGAAAUGAGCAGAUUGACCUGAUUGCGAAAGCACGAACAAAUUGUCCUGGACCCAGGUGUAAAACAAGGUGACUGAUUAAUGUGGUUCCAUUCAAUUUGCAGUCAUUUAAACGUUUCCCCGCGUUUGUGGAGAACGGUACGAAUAGACUGAGUAAACGAAGAUUAAUGUUAAUGCGAGCAAGAAACAGAUCGUACGAUGAAUAAGGUAAAAAUUGUCCCCGAAUUGAAUCUCUGAUGGGAAACGUUUAAGGAUCCCUCGUCCAAAAUUCAACCGCAACCACCUGCUGAAAUGACGCAACAAAAGUUUCUGACAAUCUACGAUUAACACUGGUUGCUGGUGUACGGAGAUAUAAUUAAAUUCGGGAUCUACCACAGCAUGGGAAGAAAAGUAAGUGGAUCGCCGUUGCAAUUACAAUGUUUAUCUGUAAUAAACCGCUUAUACCGUCAUCGAGAGUUCCCCCUCGCUCUGCGGCAAGAAGUUAAUGCAAACAGGACCGUGAAAGAAGGUGGUCCCGGCCGGCAGAGCAAUAAUGCUCCGAUGAAGAAAUAAUUUGAACUGUAGCUACUACCCCAGCGCCGUAAUUACAUGUUUCGAAUUAAAGAUGCAAUUAACGUCUGCUUAAUCUUCAUUCCGUGAUUAAAAAGGGACAGCCUUUAAAUUAUACGGAGUUAUAACAAUUCGAAACGAGUGACGAAGAAAAAAAAAUAGAAAAGUUAACCGAUCAUUCUUCUUAAUUUGGAAAUCAUCUUUCCUCGAUGAAUUCGCGAACAUCUACGUUUGCACGUAUGGCGAAAAUAUUAGUAAUUAAACGAGAGAGGAGAUCAUUGGUAUGAUUAAUGUGCACGAGACAAUAUGUUGUAUUAUUCUUAUACCUUCUUCCUCGAUGAGUUGCGACGAUCCACUACUCUUCAACUUCUUAGAAAUUGAGUGCGGAUCGAAUGCAGAAUAAAUUAUGGAUAGAAAACGAGAUAUAGUCACGCGAACGUCAGUGAUUCUGAUUUCCCAUCGAAGAAAGCUGCAAAGAGAGAAGAAACGGAGAGAAGAAAAUCUGAUGUCUCGCGUAUAUUCGUGCGCGUGAUUCUCAUUGUUUCGCUAACUGCUAUUGUAGCUACGAUGCAAGAUGGAAGAAAAAGGAAAACACGAAACGCCAAUUCCACGGAACAGUUAUUAAACAUUGCUGAGGAGAAGAAAAAGUAGAAUCGCCUACGCGUACGACACGCUUUGAACAUGAUAAUAUUAUCCUCAAUAUUACAUAAUAUUACGUACAGACUGUGUGUACACGAUAUCGGACGAGAAUGUGGUUUUAUCGUUUCAGGCAAGUCGAGUAUCGUGGAUCAAGCAAACAAUUAUUAUUCUAUUAAGGAAAUUAGUCGAUCGAGUCUUUUUUUUUCCCCGAAUGAAAACGCUCGAGGGGAAGCUCGUUUUGCUUGAUUUGGAGAAACGAAAGAUCUUUCACACACACGAUAUACUUUCUUCACACCGACAUCGCCAGUGCUACAAGAAAGCGUGUACAAUGAACGAUGAAUCUUCUCAGCCAGGUCGUUACUUUCAGUUUUCUUGCGUUCCAACGCUGGUAGUCUUUUAUCCACGAUAGUCUCUAGCACGAUGCCUAGCUACUUGUCUCCUGCGGACUCGCGGCUUUUGUCAAUAGGCUAAGCGCGAACGUUGUACUGCGAGCCGGAGCAGAAUGUCAGCAAGAGUUAACGAGAGAGGAUAAAAAGGGCAUCCGCGUGCUAUCCCGCGUUUAAUAUCUGAUCAUGCAUGGAGAACAUAGAACGGUGCACCGUAAAACUGUGCACGGUAUAUGAAGAUAAAUCUACGUUACCACCCUACCUUUCACUUCUCUCGUGCACGUGUACCACGCGUCUUGCGCGCUGUCCUCAGGGUAAGGUCGUACAAUAAGAAGGCGAGUUCAAGCUGAACGGUGUGGGUGCUAAUUUCGAUCGAGCAGUGAAGGGUAGGGUGAAUAAUCUCUCUGCCGAGAAAACCGGUGCGGCAGAAAUACACCUUAGAGAUUCCUAUCGUGUCUCGUAAAGAAAAAACGCUGUUUCUUGCCAUCACCGGCGAGAUAAGGCUAACGAGAUUGAACAAAUUAAACCGUUUAAAUGAAAUUAUGAACCAACCGAUGUAAGAAAUAAGUUGUCCCGAUGUGAAAUACGGCACGAUAUAAAACGACGGAGAAAUCAGACGGUAUAAUACCGAUUCGACACGAAACAUCCUUCCACCUCAGAGGCAGGUCAGAAAGAAAGAGAGAUAUAUGCAAAUUUUUCGUAGCGCCAUGUUCGUUUAACCUUUCCGUGUGACAUACCGCGUACAAGGAUACUCGUGGCGCUAAGUUGUAUACAAAUACCCCAUUGCAAAUUCCGUACAACUGAGAAAAAUGCCGGCAUUAUUAUAUGACAAGAGUUCACUAAAGACGAAAAAACGUGAUGUAUUCUUUUUUUUUCUUUUUUGUAGAUUUCACAAAAGGAAAAGGAAUUUUUAACUCGUGACAAUUUAAAUUAUAUAACGACUCGUCGGAAGAAAAACAGGACAGGAAAUCACGUAUGAGAUCGAUGUUACAUCUUCAUGGUAAUUUGGUGUUCUAUUAAUAUAGCUGAAAUCAAGCGAAGAACCGUAAUUCUCCUGCCAAGCCCAAGUAUGACCUAAUCGUGAUUAAGUGACAGAGAAGAAAUGCAUUCUGUCUUUAAAUGCAGAUGUAUUGUCGCUUGCAAAUAUAAGACGUAGAAUAGAAGAAACGAUUAUGAUUAUCGUGCCUUUUUACCAAUUGUUGGUCGUGAAAAAUAUACUAGAUACAGCUACGAUUAAGAAUAUUUUUAUCUGAAAGAUAAAUAAAAUUUUUACAGAAAAUAUUAAUUUUUUAUCUUGAUAAGUAUAUUGUAUCUCAAAAAUAUUUGCGAGAAUGCAUCGACACAAUUUCUUCGAAACUUUCAAGAUUACUUAC